UGCGAAAUUUAAACGUAUUAAUANNNNNNNNNNNNNNNNNNNNUCCCAAUACGUGGUGUAUUUGAACGGGAAUUACAAAUAUAUGUAGGGAAUUUGACCUGACCAAAACGUCAAAAUCCAAAUUCCCGGGGGUAUGCCCGGGGGGGGGGGGAUGUCAAGGUUUCGAUUUGAUUCGCGCAUAAUAUGUGCACACAAGUACACAAAGUCAACAAUCCACACUGGGACACUAUGGAAUCUUUAUAUUAAGCCUGAUUAUUAUUAAAGACUUGCAUACAUAUAGAAUGAACACUAUAAACUCAUCAAUAAAAAACAUUGUCAUUUUUUAAACACGAUUUAAAAAUGAGCAGCAAAUUGCUGAUGUGGUCCUGUCAUCGCAUUGGCCUUGGCACAUCGCCACACAAACAAAUAAACUAAAAUGAAUUUUGACUCAUUGUAUAAACAGGACAUUACUGACGAAUAGAUCAAGACAACCGAAGAUAAAAUGACCAUAUAUAAGUUUAUGAAUUCAUAUUGUUUCAAUACUAUAUUAUAGUAUACUACAAUUAAUAUCAAAACAGCAUAUGUAUUAUAAAUAUACAAAAUGCUUUCUUGUACAUCAUCUGAAAGAUAUCCGGGAAGAUAUAAGCCAUCCUUACUUGAUUUGUUCGUGAAAAUCCAACAAACUGCUUGUAAAUUUUGUCGUAUUGCUCGUAUUAUUAACUGAAUCACAGAGCAGAGGCGGAA
rnacentral:lncRNA from 1 species